CCCAGUGACAUCAACAGAUUUAGUGGGGUGAAGCUGUUUGUUUGUGAGGGCAUUUGCAGAAUAACAGCUGGGGGGGUCUGGCACCACAUCUGGCAGCAGCCUAUAUUUGAUCUUUUCUUUAUCCAGGACAAGGAACAGAAACUCCGUGAAGUCCCAGCAGAUGAUCUCUGCUGUUGUUGAUUGCCAAAGAACAACACUUUGGUACCAGAGAACAUGAAACACCUCAGACAGCCUCACUUGGGCAGGUAGAAGUACCUCCCUUCAGAAACACGGUAUCUUGUUGUAAAGUUGAGUUUGAAGCAGAAGCAACACCUGCUGGUGAAAACGAAGUCUACGAAACUGCUGAGCCAUCCUCCUGGAAGAACAGUUUAAAAACAAAGUGAACUUUGCAAUGCAGAGACGUGGCCAAAACUUUCAACUGAUAGCCCUGCACAAAUGCAAACAGAACAGCAACUCUUUGACUUUAAAACAUUCACUCACAAAGGAAAUGUAAUUACACUGAAAGAUAUUUAGUUGAAAGAGUUGUUAGCUUUCACAAGAAUCCCGAAAAAAUGGCCGAAGCAGCAGUGUGAGUAUAUUAACAUUUCUCCCCCAAAAAUGGAUUCGAAUUAUGUGUUAGGCCCCAGCGUGGGUUAUCUUAAGGUGGGGAGAAAAUCAAGCACAGUAAGUCAUAUCUACUUGGAAGAUGCAGAAGAGAAAUGCUGACAACUGGUUGUACUGUUUGGAGGGUAAGCAGCCCAUGGAGGAGACAUGAACACACUGUUCUGCACGGUCUAAUUCUGCACAGUGUUGUUGUUCUCUGGGAUAAAUAAUAAAGUGAUCCUCGAUUUCAAAAUAUUUUUAUAAUAAGAAAAACAUUUUUUUUUCAUGUUAAUGGAUGUUCUAUUUCAGAAAUGGAACGGACGCUUUAUAAAAGUGUUUGUUGUACCCUAGGCAUUACUUAGUAAUUGGACUUAUGACUGAUGCUGGAGUGCAUUAAUGUGGAAGGGUGUGUUUUUCAACCUUUGCUGGUUAAUAUGUGUUGCUUGACAAAUUUGCAAGUGUCACAUUGUGUUCUCUGUUUAUGAGACUUGUCUCCAAAAGAAAGGGGAGUAAUAUGGACCAGACUACUCUACUCUGCUGCUUCUGGUUUGCCAGCUUGCAGCAAGUGCUUUCUAGAAUAUUGGCAGUUUGAAUACUUUGUCAGCUUUGUCCCUUACCAAUUCGGAGCUUUCACAACACCUUUGUGGCACUUUGAUCUCCUAAAUGAAAUGAAGGAGGGUAAAAGUCUCUCUCUCCCUGGAGUGAGUUUGUAGUUUAUUUGGCAAUCUAGUAUGUUUAAAAAUAAAA